UACGUAGGGUGCAAGCGUUAAUCGGAAUUACUGGGCGUAAAGCGUGCGCAGGCGGUUAUGUAAGUCAGGUGUGAAAUCCCCGGGCUUAACCUGGGAAUUGCAUUUGUGACUGCAUGGCUAGAGUGUGUCAGAGGGGGGUAGAAUUCCACGUGUAGCAGUGAAAUGCGUAGAUAUGUGGAGGAACACCGAUGGCGAAGGCAGCCCCCUGGGUCAAGACUGACGCUCAUGCACGAAAGCGUGGGGAGCAAACAGG
rnacentral:rRNA from 1 species